rnacentral:ncRNA from 1 species
GGUCGGAUAAGGUGUUUACGCCGCAUCCGACAACAGGCUGGCACAUUUGCCUGAUGCGACGCUGGCGCGUCUUAUCAGGCC